rnacentral:rRNA from 1 species
GGACUACCCGGGUAUCUAAUCCUGUUUGCUCCCCACGCUUUCGCACCUCAGUGUCAGUAUUAGUCCAGGAAGCCGCCUUCGCCACUGGUGUUCUUUCCGAUAUCUACGCAUUUCACCGCUACACCGGAAAUUCCACUUCCCUCUACCAUACUCUAGAUAUCCAGUAUUGGAUGCAAUUCCCAGGUUAAGCCUAGGGCUUUCACAUCCAACUUAAACAUCCACCUACGUGCGCUUUACGCCCAAUGAUUCCGAUUAACGCUUGCACUCUCUGUAUUACCGCGGCUGCUGGCAC